rnacentral:rRNA from 1 species
GACGAACGCUGGCGGCGUGCUUAACACAUGCAAGUCGAACGGUGAAGCGCCUUCCUUUUUGGUGGGUGUGGAUGAGUGGCGAACGGGUGAGUAACACGUGAGUAACCUGCCCCCUUCUUCUGGAUAACCGCAUGAAAGUGUGGCUAAUACGGGAUAUUCUGGGUCUGUCGCAUGAUGGGUCUGGGAAAGAUAUUGUUUCGGUGGGGGAUGGGCUCGCGGCCUAUCAGCUUGUUGGUGGGGUGAUGGCCUACCAAGGCGGUGACGGGUAGCCGGCCUGAGAGGGUGGACGGUCACACUGGGACUGAGACCCGGCCCAGACUCCGACGGGAGGCAGCAGGGGGGAAUAUUGCACAAUGGGCGCAAGCCUGAUGCAGCGACGCCGCGUGAGGGAUGGAGGCCUUCGGGUUGUGAACCUCUUUCGCCAGUGAAGCAGGCCUGCCUCGUUUGUGGGUGGGUUGACGGUAGCUGGAGAAGAAGCGCCGGCUAACUACGUG